rnacentral:rRNA from 1 species
GACGAACGCUGGCGGCGUGCUUAACACAUGCAAGUCGAACGGAAAGGCCUGCAGCUUGCUGCGGGUACUCGAGUGGCGAACGGGUGAGUAACACGUGGGUGAUCUGCCUUGCACUUCGGGAUAAGCUUGGGAAACUGGGUCUAAUACCGGAUAGGACAGCUGUUUAGUGUCAGUUGUGGAAAGUUUUUUCGGUGCAAGAUGGGCUCGCGGCCUAUCAGCUUGUUGGUGGGGUAAUGGCCUACCAAGGCGUCGACGGGUAGCCGGCCUGAGAGGGGGGACGGCCACAUUGGGACUGAGAUACGGCCCAGACUCCUACGGGAGGCAGCAGUGGGGAAUAUUGCACAAUGGGCGGAAGCCUGAUGCAGCGACGCCGCGUGGGGGAUGAAGGCCUUCGGGUUGUAAACUCCUUUCGACAGGGACGAAGCUUUUGUGACGGUACCUGUAUAAGAAGCACCGGCUAACUACGUG